rnacentral:rRNA from 1 species
GUCUGCAACCCGACUACAUGAAGCUGGAAUCGCUAGUAAUCGCGGAUCAGAAUGCCGCGGUGAAUACGUUCCCGGGUCUUGUACACACCGCCCGUCACACCAUGGGAGUCGGAAAUGCCCGAAGUCUGUGACCUAACCGCAAGGGAGGAGCAGCCGAAGGCAGGUCGGAUGACUGGGGUGAAGUCGUAACAAGGUAAC